rnacentral:rRNA from 1 species
AUUGAACGCUGGCGGCAUGCCUUACACAUGCAAGUCGAACGGCAGCACGGGAGUAAUCCUGGUGGCGAGUGGCGAACGGGUGAGUAAUACAUCGGAACGUGCCCAGUAGUGGGGGAUAGCCCGGCGAAAGCCGGAUUAAUACCGCAUACGACCUACGGGUGAAAGCGGGGGAUCGCAAGACCUCGCGCUAUCGGAGCGGCCGAUGUCAGAUUAGGUUGUUGGUGGGGUAAAGGCCUACCAAGCCGACGAUCUGUAGCUGGUCUGAGAGGACGACCAGCCACACUGGGACUGAGACACGGCCCAGACUCCUACGGGAGGCAGCAGUGGGGAAUUUUGGACAAUGGGGGCAACCCUGAUCCAGCCAUGCCGCGUGCGGGAAGAAGG